CGUGUAGGUGGCGAUGUAAGUCGGGUGUGAAAUCCCUUGGCUUAACCAAGGAAGUGCAUUCGAUACUGUGUCGCUUGAGUACUGGAGGGGAUGGCGGAAUUCCCGGUGUAGAGGUGAAAUUCGUAGAUAUCGGGAGGAACACCUGUGGCGAAGGCGGCCAUCUGGACAGUCACUGACACUGAGACGCGAAAGCGUGGGUAGCAAACA
rnacentral:rRNA from 1 species